rnacentral:rRNA from 1 species
UACAGAGGGUGCGAGCGUUGUCCGGAAUCACUGGGCGUAAAGGGCGCGUAGGCGGCCUGAUAAGUAGGGGGUGAAAUCCUGUGGCUUAACUGCAGGGCUGCCUCCUAGACUGUUAGGCUCGAGCACGGUAGAGGCAGAUGGAAUUCCCGGUGUAGCGGUGGAAUGCGUAGAGAUCGGGAAGAACAUCGGUGGCGAAGGCGGUCUGCUGGGCCGUUGCUGACGCUGAGGCGCGACAGCGUAGGGGAGCAAACAGG